AGGACCGCGGCUCCUAAUAUAACCUUCCCACAGUGCCUCUAAGUGACAUGUGGACUUUGGGUGAACUGGAUCUGGGUCGUCCACAACACGGAGGACCGCGGCUCCUAAUAUAACCUUCCCACAGUGCCUCUAAAUGACAUGUGGACUUUGGGUGAACUGGAUCUGGGUCGUCCACAACACGGAGGACCGCGGCUCCUAAUAUAACCUUCCCACAGUGCCUCUAAAUGACAUGUGGACUUUGGGUGAACUGGAUCUGGGUCGUCCACAACACGGAGGACCGCGGCUCCUAAUAUAACCUUCCCACAGUGCCUCUAAAUGACAUGUGGACUUUGGGUGAACUGGAUCUGGGUCGUCCACAACACGGAGGACCGCGGCUCCUAAUAUAACCUUCCCACAGUGCCUCUAAAUGACAUGUGGACUUUGGGUGAACUGGAUCUGGGUCGUCCACAACACGGAGGACCGCGGCUCCUAAUAUAACCUUCCCACAGUGCCUCU